GACACUGACGAAAGAGAAGAAGAAAUGAAUUGACACUGACUAAAGAGAAGAAGAAAUGAAUUGACACUGACUAAAGAGAAGAAGAAAUGAAUUGACACUGACUAAAGAGAAGAAGAAAUGAAUUGACACUGACGAAAGAGAAGAAGAAAUGAAUUGACACUGACGAAAGAGAAGAAGAAAUGAAUUGACACUGACGAAAGAGAAGAAGAAAUGAAUUGACACUGACUAAAGAGAAGAAGAAAUGAAUUGACACUGACUAAAGAGAAGAAGAAAUGAAUUGACACUGACUAAAGAGAAGAAGAAAUGAAUUGACACUGACUAAAGAGAAGAAGAAAUGAAUUGACAUUGACUAAAGAGAAGAAGAAAUGAAUUGACACUGACUAAAGAGAAGAAGAAAUGAAUUGACACUGACUAAAGUGAAGAAGAAAUGAAUUGACACUGACUAAAGAGAAGAAGAAAUGAAUUGACACUGACUAAAGAGAAGAAAUGAAUUGACACUGACUAAAGAGAAGAAGAAAUGAAUUGACACUGACGAAAGAGAAGAAGAAAUGAAUUGACACUGACGAAAGAGAAGAAGAAAUGAAUUGACACUGACUAAAGAGAAGAAGAAAUGAAUUGACACUGACUAAAGAGAAGAAGAAAUGAAUUGACACUGACUAAAGAGAAGAAGAAAUGAAUUGACACUGACUAAAGAGAAGAAGAAAUGAAUUGACACUGACUAAAGAGAAGAAGAAAUGAAUUGACACUGACUAAAGAGAAGAAGAAAUGAAUUGACACUGACGAAAGAGAAGAAGAAAUGAAUUGACACUGACGAAAGAGAAGAAAUGAAUUGACACUGACUAAAGAGAAGAAGAAAUGAAUUGACACUGACUAAAGAGAAGAAGAAAUGAAUUGACACUGACUAAAGAGAAGAAGAAAUGAAUUGGGACUGGAAUUUAUUGAAAUACUAAUUAAAGGUUAAACAUAUUAAAUGUUAAAGGUUGAAAACGUUGGGAGAUAUUAAAGGUGUUAAAAUAAUGCAGGUGAGGAGAGUUAUAAUGUAGUUUUCUUUAAGUUGUGAAUCAUAUAGACUGUGUUUCAUUCUGCUUAGAGGACAAGGCCUUAGGAGGUUGAUAACGAGACGUUAUAAUGGUCAAAUGUUAUAAUGUUUAAAAUAUUGAAUUAUUAAGAUAUAACUGGAGUAAUAAAUUAGGUUGUAUUAAGAUUAGAAUUGAGUAAAGAUGGUUUGAAAAAUGUAUGUUUUAAGAAGUUGAUGUUAAUGAAGUAUAUUAAAAGGUGCUAGCUUGAUCUGGAAAUCCCUUGAGGUGACCUCAUUGACAGACAUGUUCUAGAACAUUCUAGGUGGAACCCUUAAGGUGACCUCAUUGAUAGAAGUGUUCUAGAACAUUCUAGGAGGAAUCCGUUAGGUUACCUCAUUGAUAGAAGUGUUCUAGAACAUUCUAGGUGGAAUCCUUAAGGUUACCUCAUUGAUAGAAGUGUUCUAGAACAUUCUAGGUGGAAUCCUUAAGGUUACCUCAUUGGUAGAAGUGUUCUAGUAGCUGUUAGUUUUUUAGACACCAACUGAGGGACUGAGCAUCCCGAGGGGGGAGACAAAAAUCUGUUUAUAAUUUGUAGAAGGUAAGAACAUGUUUUUCUUGUUGUUAAAUACAGCUUCUCAUGAAAUUGUUAUAGUUUUUAGGUAAAGGGUUUAGGUAAAGGGUUUAGGUAAAGGGUUUAGGUAAAGACGCUGAAGGCAUCUCUCAAUUUAAUCCAAGGUACAUUUUUGCGUAUCAUCAAUUGGUGAUAUUGAUUGAUCCGUUUUUUAUGCCUUUUUUUCUGUCAUUUUGAAUAAACUUGCUUUAUUGUUCUGAAA
ensembl:lncRNA